rnacentral:rRNA from 1 species
CCAGACUCCUACGGGAGGCAGCAGUGGGAAUAUUGCACAAUGGGCGAAAGCCUGAUGCAGCAACGCCGCGUGAAGGAAGACGGUUUUCGGAUUGUAAACUUCUGUUCUUAGUGAAGAAUAAUGACGGUAACUAAGGAGCAAGCCACGGCUAACUACGUGCCAGCAGCCGCGGUAAUACGUAGGGGGCAAGCGUUAUCCGGAUUUACUGGGUGUAAAGGGAGCGUAGACGGCAAGGCAAGCCAGAAGUGAAAGGGCAGGGCUCAACCCUGUACAUGCUUUUGGAACUGUGGUGCUAGAGUGCAGGAGAGGUAAGUGGAAUUCCUAGUGUAGCGGUGAAAUGCGUAGAUAUUAGGAGGAACACCAGUGGCGAAGGCGGCUUACUGGACUGUAACUGACGUUGAGGCUCGAAAGCGUGGGGAGCAAACAGGAUUAGAUACCCGCGUA